AUGCUAUCCGCUUGCUCUUACUACCCACCGCACCAGCCACCAGAGCGUUUAUUACUCGAGGAGUCGUCAGGCAGGAUCACAUCAUCAACAACUCCUGUUUCGUACUCCAUCCUAUCCGUCCGUCCGUCCGUCCGCUCGGCCUCCAGACUCCAGACUCGAGGGAGUCCAGGGGCAGAACGGUCACUCGGCACGGGCACCCCCCUACAAAGCUGGUCUCCUUUUAAAGCCCGCGGUGGCAGACCUCCCUACCCCUGUGACAGAGGAGAAAACAGAGGCGCCCGGCCCCGCCCCGACACAGCGCGACCGAAGCCGCCAGGACACAAACCACCGCCCCGCCUGCCUCCUCCCUCUCCUCCCCGGCGCCAGCCGCCGCCUCCGUCCUCCUCCUCGUCGUCGUCUCCUCCUACCCCCGAAAAGGCUGAGAUCGCCGGUUCGCGGGCCAUUUGA
rnacentral:rRNA from 1 species